rnacentral:rRNA from 1 species
AUUGAACGCUGGCGGCAGGCUUAACACAUGCAAGUCGAGCGGAAACGAUUCUAGCUUGCUAGAAGGCGUCGAGCGGCGGACGGGUGAGUAACGCGUAGGAAUCUACCUAGUAGUGGGGGACAACAUGUGGAAACGCAUGCUAAUACCGCAUACGCCCUACGGGGGAAAACGGGGGAUCUUCGGACCUCGUGCUAUUAGAUGAGCCUGCGUAGGAUUAGCUAGUUGGUGGGGUAAUGGCUCACCAAGGCGACGAUCCUUAGCUGGUCUGAGAGGAUGAUCAGCCACACUGGGACUGAGACACGGCCCAG